AAAAAGGGCUUCUGUCGUGAGUGACACACGUGGGGCAGCUCGUUUGUCCUUCGUGCGGAAUCGACAUCAAGAGAUUUCGGAAGCAUAAUUUUUUGAUCACGGGGCAGCUAGUGAUCGUUGGUCCUGGCGCCCUU